AUUGCACGCUAGCGGGAUGCCUUACACAUGCAAGUCGAACGGAGUGGCGAACGGGUGAGUAAUGUAUCGGAACGUGACCAGUAGCGGGGGAUAACUACGCGACAGCGUAGCUAAUACCGCAUACUAUUGGAGCGGCCGAUAUCGGAUUAGCUAGUUGUGGGGGUAACGGCGCACAAAGGCGACGAUCCGGAGCUGGUUGGAGAGGACGACCAGCCACACUUGGACUGAGACACGGCCCAGACUCCUACGGGAGGCAGCAGUGGGGAAUUUUGGACAAUGGGUGAAACCCUGAUGCAGCCAUCCCGCGUGUGCGAUGAAGGCCUGCGGUUUGUAAAGCACUUUUGGCAGGAAAGCGGUACCUACAGAAUAAGCACCGGCUAACUACGUGCCAGCAGCCGCGGUAAUAC
rnacentral:rRNA from 1 species